GGUCCCUUAGCUCAGUUGGUUAGAGCGUGGUGCUAAUAUCGGAGGCGAUUUACUGCAAUUUAGUUGAGAACAUAUAUCGAUAUAUAGUGACGCCAAGGUCGCAGGUUCGACCCCUGCAGGGACCA